GAUGAAGACGUAGCGAAAUGCGAUAAGUAAUGUGAAUUGCAGAAUUCAGUGAAUCAUCGAAUCUUUGAACGCACAUUGCGCCCGCCAGCAUUCUGGCGGGCAUGCCUGUUCGAGCGUCAUUUCAACCCUCGAGCCCCCCCGGGGGCCUCGGUGUUGGGGGACGGCACACCAGCCGCCCCCGAAAUGCAGUGGCGACCCCGCCGCAGCCUCCCCUGCGUAGUAGCACACACCUCGCACCGGAGCGCGGAGGCGGUCACGCCGUAAAACGCCCAACUUUCUUAGAGUUGACCUCGGAUCAGGUAGGAAUACCCGCUGAACUUAAGCAUAUCAAUAAGCGGAGGA
rnacentral:misc_RNA from 1 species